rnacentral:rRNA from 1 species
UACGUAGGUGACGAGCGUUAUCCGGAAUUAUUGGGCGUAAAGCGCACGCAAGCGGUUCUGCAAGUCUGACGUGAAAUCUCCUGGCUUAACUGGGAGCGGUCGUUGGAAACUGCGGAGCUUGAGGCGAUGAGAGGGGUGCAGAAUUCCCGGUGUAGUGGUGGAAUGCGUAGAGAUCGGGGGGAAUACCUGUGGCGAAAGCGGCACCCUGGCGUCGUACUGACGCUCAUGUGCGAAAGCGUGGGGAGCGAACGGG